CCUGGAAACAAACAGGAAAGUGGAACCAAAUGUGCAGGUAAGGAUGCUUCCAAGCAAUAGAUCCAAGUCUCAUUGGAGCUCAUGGCCAUGACAUUUAAUGUUCGAGGUGUGUGUUGCUAUUGUAUCUGUCCCUUUUCCGAGUAUUGUUGAAACAAUUUCCAGCUUCACCGCCUUUUGUUUUUGAGGAGCAUCAUAGUAAUGCUUUUAUGGUAUGAAUUUAAGGGGCUGAAAGCAAAUUAUAUACAAAGUUUGUAUAGAACAAAGCUUUGAAUAUUUCCAAUUUUUACUGUUGCUGUACUCGGGCA
rnacentral:misc_RNA from 1 species